GACGAACGCUGGCGGCGUGCUUAACACAUGCAAGUCGAACGGAAAGGCCCUGCUUUUGUGGGGUGCUCGAGUGGCGAACGGGUGAGUAACACGUGAGUAACCUGCCCUUGACUUUGGGAUAACUUCAGGAAACUGGGGCUAAUACCGGAUAGGAGCUCCUGCUGCAUGGUGGGGGUUGGAAAGUUUCGGCGGUUGGGGAUGGACUCGCGGCUUAUCAGCUUGUUGGUGGGGUAGUGGCUUACCAAGGCUUUGACGGGUAGCCGGCCUGAGAGGGUGACCGGCCACAUUGGGACUGGGAUACGGCACAGACUCCUGGGGGGGGCAGGAGUGGGGAAUAUUGCAAAAGGGGGGGAAGCCUGAUGCAGCAACGCCGGGUGCGGGAUGACGGCCUUGGGGUUGAAAACCGCUUUCGCCUGUGACGAAGGGUGAGGGACGGUAAUGGGUAAAGAAGCACCGGCUAACUACG
rnacentral:rRNA from 1 species